rnacentral:rRNA from 1 species
UUCUGGCUCAGGAUGAACGCUGGCGGCGUGCUUAACACAUGCAAGUCGAACGGAACUUUCUCCCGAAGAAGCGGAGUGCUUGCACAAAGCAGAUUCAUUGAAAAGUUAGUGGCGGACGGGUGAGUAACGCGUGGGUAACCUGCCUUACACAGGGGGACAACAGUUGGAAACGACUGCUAAUACCGCAUAAGCGCACAGUACCGCAUGGUACAGUGUGAAAAAACUCCGGUGGUGUAAGAUGGACCCGCGUCUGAUUAGCUAGUUGGUGAGGUAACGGCCCACCAAGGCGACGAUCAGUAGCCGGCCUGAGAGGGUGAACGGCCACAUUGGGACUGAGACACGGCCCAGACUCCUACGGGUAGGCAGCAGUGGGGAAUAUUGCACAAUGGGGGAAACCCUGAUGCAGCGACGCCGCGUGAGUGAAGAAGUAUUUCGGUAUGUAAAGCUCUAUCAGCAGGAAAGAAAAUGACGGUACCUGACUAAGAAGCCCCGGCUAACUACGUGCCAGCCGCGGC